rnacentral:rRNA from 1 species
CCUACGGGUGGCAGCAGUGAGGAAUAUUGGUCAAUGGCCGCAAGGCUGAACCAGCCAAGUCGCGUGAGGGAUGACGGUCCUAUGGAUUGUAAACCUCUUUUGUCAGGGAGCAAAGGGCGCCACGUUUGGCGUUUUGCGGGUACCUCACGAAAAAGCAUCGGCUAACUCCGUGCCAGCAGCCGCGGUAAUACGGAGGAUGCGAGCGUUAUCCUGCUUUAUUGGGUUUAAGGGGUUCGCAGGCGGACUGUGAUGUACGCGGUAAAAUUUCGGGGCUCAACCCCGUGGUGCCGUUGAAACUGGCGUUCUUGAGUGAGCGAGAAGUAUGCGGAAUGCGUGGUGUAGCGGUGAAAUGCAUAGAUAUCACGCAGAACUCCGAUUGCGAAGGCAGCAUACCGGCGCUCAACUGACGCUCAUGCACGAAAGCGUGGGUAUCGAACAGGAUUAGAUACCCUAGUAGUC